UACGUAGGGUGCGAGCGUUAAUCGGAAUUACUGGGCGUAAAGCGUGCGCAGGCGGCGCGUUAAGACAGGUGUGAAAGCCCCGAGCUUAACUUGGGAAUUGCGCUUGUGACUGGCGAGCUGGAGUGUGGCAGAGGGAGGUGGAAUUCCACGUGUAGCAGUGAAAUGCGUAGAGAUGCGGAGGAACACCGAUGGCGAAGGCAGCCCCCCUGGGCCGACAUUGACGCUCAGGCACGAAAGCGUGGGGGAGCAAACAGG
rnacentral:rRNA from 1 species